rnacentral:rRNA from 1 species
UACGGGGGGGAGCAAGCGUUGUUCGGAUUUACUGGGCGUAAAGGGCGCGUAGGCGGCCAGCACAAGUCAGUUGUGAAAUCUCCGGGCUUAACUCGGAAAGGUCAACUGAUACUGUGCGGCUAGAGUGCAGAAGGGGCAACUGGAAUUCUCGGUGUAGCGGUGAAAUGCGUAGAUAUCGAGAGGAACACCUGCGGCGAAGGCGGGUUGCUGGGCUGACACUGACGCUGAUGCGCGAAAAGCCAGGGGAGCGAACGGG